rnacentral:lncRNA from 1 species
CUGGGAGGCGCAACACGGGGCGGCACGCAUAGCUGGGCCGAGUGGGCCUAGGUCGACUCGGGCCGAAGGUAAGAAGGUAAGUUUUUCUUUUUCCUUUUUCUGUUUUCUCUUUUGCAAAUAGUUUUGUUUGUACUUUGUUUUCUUGAUUCAUAUUUCAAAUACCAUUUUGAAAAGCUGAGGAGUAGGAGAGUUCAAAUAUGGUACUAUUAUUUGAAAAUAUUCAAAUGGGGGUAAAGGUUUAAAUCAAAACCCAUUCAAAUGUCAUU